GUUUACGUCAAUAGAUCGAGAAUCUCGUUAUGACGUUUCGAGCAGUCAACAGUGUAGUGCAUGAUUGAUAUGCAGAUUAGAUGUUAUAUACUUGUUAUGCUAGUGGCAAAGUAGUGAACGGAUGUCAGAUCUACGAUCGUACGUGUUCAUUAUCUAGUGCUCAUAUUAUAUCGUUUCCUUUUCCAUUUAAACCACAAAAAGUUUAUAGAAUGCAAAUCUAAAAUAAUAUAUGUAGAAUGUAGAGCAACGAUUGCAUAUAAUAAUUAUGUUUGAUAUUAUAAUUAACUAAAGCUCGAUGAAGCUCAGGCACCACUCUAGGUACUUAGUCGGUUCGCCACGACCGGGCACGUCGAUCGUAUGACCUGGCACGGAGGACGUACGUGGGAUAACCGGCAUCAGAACCCAAGCAGAGAAAGGAGAAUCGCGAUACAGCGUGGGCAAAGGAAACGUUAAGCCUCUUUCGGCGAGCUACGACCAAAAACGAUUUCGAGUUCUAUACCAUUCUUACUUGAUGACGUUCAACGAUCCGGUUAUGAUACUAGGUUCCUAAAUAAGAUAAAUGUGUUUGACCUGCACGAUCUUCGUAGGAUAAAGAUUUCAAUUAUAUGUCUAUGUAGAAGUAAUAAACAACGUACAAAUAUCGUA
rnacentral:lncRNA from 1 species